CCACAAGCAGCGAGGUAUGUGGUUUAAUUCGACGCUACGCGAAGAACCUUACCUGGGCUUGACAUGCUUGAGAAAGGACCAAGAAACUGGUCCCCCCAUGACCGCAAGGUCAUGGCUCAUCCACAGGUGCUGCAUGGUUGUCGUCAGCUCGUGUCGUGAGAUGUAAGGUUAAGUCCUUGAACGAGCGCAACCCCUUUCGUCAGUUGCAAACCAGCAAUGGCGCACCCUGACGAUACUGCCAGCUAAAAGUUGGAGGAAGGAGGGGAUGACGUCAAAUCCUCAUGGCCUUUAUGUCCAGGGCUACACACAUGCGACAAUGGUCGGUACAACGGGUUGCAACACCGCGAGGUGAAGCCAAUCCCUAAAACCGACCUCAGUUCAGAUUGCAGACUGCAAUUCGUCUACAUGAAGAUGGAGUUGCUAGUAACCGCGGGUCAGCUACACCGCGGUGAAUAUGUUCCCGGGCCUU
rnacentral:rRNA from 1 species